AUUGAACGCUGGCGGCAUGCUUUACACAUGCCAGUCGAACGGUAACAGGCCGCAAGGUGCUGACGAGUGGCGAACGGGUGAGUAAUGCAUCGGAACGUGCCCAGCCGUGGGGGAUAACUACUCGAAAGAGUAGCUAAUACCGCAUACGAUCUAUGGAUGAAAGCGGGGGACCGUAAGGCCUCGCGCGAUUGGAGCGGCCGAUGUCAGAUUAGGUAGUUGGUGGGGUAAAGGCUCACCAAGCCAACGAUCUGUAGCUGGUCUGAGAGGACAACCAGCCACACUGGGACUGAGACACGGCCCAGACUCCUACGGGAGGCAGCAGUGGGGAAUUUUGGACAAUGGGCGCAAGCCUGAUCCAGCAAUGCCGCGUGCAGGAAGAAGGCCUUCGGGUUGUAAACUGCUUUUGUACGGAACGAAACGGCUCUGGUUAAUACCCGAGGCUAAUGACGGUACCGUAAGAAUAAGCACCGGCUAACUACGUG
rnacentral:rRNA from 1 species